rnacentral:rRNA from 1 species
UAGGGAAUCUUCGGCAAUGGACGAAAGUCUGACCGAGCAACGCCGCGUGAGUGAAGAAGGUUUUCGGAUCGUAAAACUCUGUUGUUAGAGAAGAACAAGGACGUUAGUAACUGAACGUCCCCUGACGGUAUCUAACCAGAAAGCCACGGCUAACUACGUGCCAGCAGCCGCGGUAAUACGUAGGUGGCAAGCGUUGUCCGGAUUUAUUGGGCGUAAAGCGAGCGCAGGCGGUUUCUUAAGUCUGAUGUGAAAGCCCCCGGCUCAACCGGGGAGGGUCAUUGGAAACUGGGAGACUUGAGUGCAGAAGAGGAGAGUGGAAUUCCAUUUGUAGCGAUGAAAUGCGUAGAUAUAUGGAGGAACACCAGUGGCGAAGGCGGCUCUCUGGUCUGUAACUGACGCUGAGGCUCGAAAGCGUGGGGAGCAAACAGG